GUGGUUUGUGAUCCUAUGGAGUUGUUGCUGGCCUCUAGGGGCAUGUGCACGCUUCACUAGUCUUUCAACCACCUGUGAACUUUUGAUAGAUCUGUGAAGUCGUCUCUCAAGUCGUCAGACUUGGUUGCUGGGAUUUAAACGUCUCGGUGUGACUACGCAGUCUAUUUACUUACACACCCCAAAUGUAUGUCUACGAAUGUCAUUUAAUGGGCCUUGUGCCUUUAAACCAUAAUACAACUUUCAACAACGGAUCUCUUGGCUCUCGCAUCGAUGAAGAACGCAGCGAAAUGCGAUAAGUAAUGUGAAUUGCAGAAUUCAGUGAAUCAUCGAAUCUUUGAACGCACCUUGCGCCCCUUGGUAUUCCGAGGGGCAUGCCUGUUUGAGUGUCAUUAAAUUCUCAAACUCACUUUGGUUUCUUUCCAAUUGUGAUGUUUGGAUUGUUGGGGGCUGCUGGCCUUGACAGGUCGGCUCCUCUUAAAUGCAUUAGCAGGACUUCUCAUUGCCUCUGCGCAUGAUGUGAUAAUUAUCACUCAUCAAUAGCACGCAUGAAUAGAGUCCAGCUCUCUAAUCGUCCGCAAGGACAAUUUGACAAUUUGACCUCAAAUCAGGUAGGACUACCCGCUGAACUUAAGCAUAUCAAUAAGCGGAGGAAGGA
rnacentral:rRNA from 1 species